rnacentral:rRNA from 1 species
AUUGAACGCUGGCGGCAGGCUUAACACAUGCAAGUCGAGCGAGCGGCGGACGGGUGAGUAAUAUCUGGGAAACUGCCUGAUGGAUGGGGAUAACUACUGGAAACGGUAGCUAAUACCGCAUACCAUCCGAUGUUCCCAGAUGGGAUUAGCUCGUAGGUGGGGUAAUGGCUCACCUAGGCGACGAUCCCUAGCUGGUCUGAGAGGAUGACCAGCCACACUGGAACUGAGACACGGUCCAGACUCCGACGGGAGGCAGCAGUGGGGAAUAUUGCACAAUGGGCGAAAGCCUGAUGCAGCAAUGCCGCGUGUGUGAAGAAGGCCUUCGGAUUGUAAAGCACUUUCAGCGAGGAGGCGGUACUCGAAGAAGAAGCACCGGCUAACUCCGUGCCAGCAGCCGCGGUAAUAC